UUGUAUGUGAAUUUCAAUGCAUUUUAAGGUUGCAUUUUAAAUGUUUCCUUAUUGCAGCUUGACAGUGUGCAUAAUUAUCAGCUUUUACUGUAUGGAAAGAGGGGUUCAAAUAUACCGCAUCUUUUCCUGAGGAAAAAAAUCAUGCAUACAGCUUGCGUGCAUAAUCAAGAAAUUUAAUUUGAUGGAAAAAUGAGUUCAGAUAUACUGCAAAACAUCUCCUUUUGCGAAAGAGAGAAAAAGGUAAUGCAUGCAAGUUUGAAAGAACAAAAUGCUUGACAGUGUGCAUAAUCAUCAAAUUUCAUUGGAGGAGUUCAAAUAUAUGGCA